AGAAACACAGAGCAUCUGCUCAUUCUAGCUGCUGCCCAACACUGACUCUGAGGUUUCGAAACCCUGUCACGAUGGUGACGGAGUCAGAUGCUUUGGAAAGGUGUAUUUCACCUAUCCAGGUGACAUCUCUGUGAAACCUAGAAAACAGAAGCAAUAAAUCUUUUACUCAUGACUGAUUCUCUCAGAUUCACACAAAUAUGUUCCAGCGACUGAAGGCCGGUUCUUCUCUCUGAAAUGCCAGAAGCACCCAGUCCCAGUGCUAGUUACUUGUACGAGUGCCAGCGUUCACACUCUGUGGGGGAAAUAGAGUCUGUAUUUCCAGUAAUACCUAUCAUGAUGUUAAGAAGAAAAUUAAAACAAUAUGGGGUGCUCACACCUGGAUGAAAGAAACCUACAGACCUAUGCAAGUCACCUGGGACUCUUGGCUACAUGUGCAGUGAUCACUCUAAUUAUAAUUUCAAAUAUUAUCUUCACUAUCUGGCAGAGUUCAAUCUUACCUGUUUGUUCAUCCAUCCUUUGUUUUGCCCCACGAAAGAUUCACAGCAGCUUACAAAGAGAAACAAAAGCUAAAAAUGGAAGACAAAGGAAAAAUGAAAAGUUGAGCUGGGCUGGUGACAUCACAUGGAAGAGCAGUUCUGCAGACGCUGCAGCUGGCGGUCACCUAGAAAGCGCCACCUGGACCACGCACCCAUAUAAAGUCUCAAAGCAGCAUAUGGCCCCUAGUAAGUGCUCAAUAAAUGCCAGUGGUUAGUGUUCCUACUACUAU